UACCAGCACCCCGAGUGGUCGGGACGUUUUAUUGGGCCUAAAGCAUCCGUAGCCGGUUCUGCAAGUCUUCCGUUAAAUCCACCUGCUUAACAGAUGGGCCGCGGAAGAUACUAUAGAGCUAGGAGGCGGGAGAGGCAAGCGGUACUCGAUGGGUAGGGGUAAAAUCCGUUGAUCCAUUGAAGACCACCAGUGGCGAAGGCGGCUUGCCAGAACGCGCUCGACGGUGAGGGAUGAAAGCUGGGGGAGCAA
rnacentral:rRNA from 1 species